GAGUUUGAUCAUGGCUCAGGAUGAACGCUAGCGGCAGGCUUAACACAUGCAAGUCGAGGGGUAUAGGUUUUCGGACCUAGAGACCGGCGCACGGGUGCGUAACGCGUAUGCAAUCUACCUUUUACAGAGGGAUAGCCCAGAGAAAUUUGGAUUAAUACCUCAUAGUAUUGUUGAAUGGCAUCAUUUAAUAAUUAAAGUUCCGACGGUAAAAGAUGAGCAUGCGCGAUAUUAGCUAGUUGGUGAGGUAACGGCCCACCAAGGCGACGAUAUCUAGGGGUACUGAGAGGUUACACCCCCACACUGGUACUGAGACACGGACCAGACUCCUACGGGAGGCAGCAGUAAGGAAUAUUGGACAAUGGUCGCAAGACUGAUCCAGCCAUGCCGCGUGCAGGAUGACUGCCCUAUGGGUUGUAAACUGCUUUUGUACGGGAAUAAACCCGGGUACGUGUACCCGGCUGAAUGUACCGUAAGAAUAAGGGUCGGCUAACUUCGUGCCAGCAGCAGCCGCAGUAAC
rnacentral:rRNA from 1 species